GACGAACGCUGGCGGCGUGCCUAAUACAUGCAAGUUGAGCGCUGAAGGUUGGUACUUGUACCAACUGGAUGAGCAGCGAACGGGUGAGUAACGCGUGGGGAAUCUGCCUUUGAGCGGGGGACAACAUUUGGAAACGAAUGCUAAUGCCGCAUAAAAACUUUAAACACAAGUUUUAAGUUUGAAAGAUGCAAUUGCAUCACUCAAAGAUGAUCCCGCGUUGUAUUAGCUAGUUGGUGAGGUAAAGGCUCACCAAGGCGAUGAUACAUAGCCGACCUGAGAGGGUGAUCGGCCACAUUGGGACUGAGACACGGCCCAAACUCCUACGGGAGGCAGCAGUAGGGAAUCUUCGGCAAUGGACGAAAGUCUGACCGAGCAACGCCGCGUGAGUGAAGAAGGUUUUCGGAUCGUAAAACUCUGUUGGUAGAGAAGAACGUUGGUGAGAGUGGAAAGCUCAUCAAGUGACGGUAACUACCCAGAAAGGGACGGCUAACUACGUG
rnacentral:rRNA from 1 species